UACGUAGGGGGCGAGCGUUGUCCGGAGUUACUGGGCGUAAAGGGCAUGCAGGCGGUCUGGCGCGUUUUGUGUGACAGCGGGGGGCUCAACUCCCCGAGCAUGCGAAAGACGGUUGGACUUGAGGGCUCGAGAGGGACACGGAAUUCCGGGUGGAGUGGUGAAAUGCGUAGAGAUCGGGAGGAACAUCAGUUGCGAAGGCGGCUCUCUGGACCAGCACUGACACUGAGGCACGAAAACGUGGGGAGCAAACAGG
rnacentral:rRNA from 1 species